GGAAUACCGGGGGCAAAGGCGGCCUUCUGGACAGUACUGACGCUGAGAUGCGAAAGCGUGGGGAGCAAACAGGAUUAGAUACCUGGUAGUCACGCUGUAAACGAUGUCGAUUUGGAGUUUGUUGCCUAGAGUGAUGGGCUCCGAAGCUAACGCGAUAAAUCGACCGCCCGGGGAGUACGGCCGCAAGGUUAAAACUCAAAUAAAUUGACGGGGGCCCGCACAAGCGGUGGAGCAUGUGGUUUAAUUCGAUGCAACGCGAAGAACCUUACCUGGUCUUGACAUCCACAGAAUUCUGCAGAGAUGUGGGAGUGCCUUCGGGAACUAUGAGACAGGUGCUGCAUGGCUGUCGUCAGCUCGUGUUGUGAAAUGUUGGGUUAAGUCCCGCAACGAGCGCAACCCUUAUUCUUUGUUGCCAGCGAUUUGGUCGGGAACUCAAAGGAGACUGCCGUUGAUAAAGCGGAGGAAGGUGGGGACGACGUCAAGUCAUCAUGGCCCUUACGACCAGGGCUACACACGUGCUACAAUGGCGUAUACAAAGGGAAGCGAAGGUGCGAGCUGGAGCGGACCUCAUAAAGUGCGUCUAAGUUCGGAUUGGAGUCUGCAACUCGACUCCAUGAAGUCGGAAUCGCUAGUAAUCGUAGAUCAGAAUGCUACGGUGAAUACGUUCCCGGGCCUUGUACACACCGCCCGUCACACCGUGGGAGUGGGUUGCACCAGAAGUAGAUAGCUUAACCGCGAGGGGGGCGCUUACCACGGUGUGAUUCAUGACUGGGGUGAAGUCGUAACAAGGUAACCA
rnacentral:rRNA from 1 species